GACGAACGCUGGCGGCGUGCUUAACACAUGCAAGUCGAACGGAAAGGCCCUGCUUUUGUGGGGUGCUCGAGUGGCGAACGGGUGAGUAACACGUGAGUAACCUGCCCUUGACUUUGGGAUAACUUCAGGAAACUGGGGCUAAUACCGGAUAGGAGCUCCUGCUGCAUGGUGGGGGUUGGAAAGUUUCGGCGGUUGGGGAUGGACUCGCGGCUUAUCAGCUUGUUGGUGGGGUAGUGGCUUACCAAGGCUUUGACGGGUAGCCGGCCUGAGAGGGUGACCGGCCACAUUGGGACUGAGAUACGGCCCAGACGCCUACGGGAGGCAGCAGUGGAGAAUAUUGCACAAUGGGCGGAAGCCUGAUGCAGAAACGCCGCGUGCGGGAUGACGGCCUUCGGGUUGUAAACCGCUUUCGCCUGUGACGAAGCGUGAGUGACGGUAAUGGGUAAAGAAGCACCGGCUAACUACGUG
rnacentral:rRNA from 1 species